UAACCUCACUUUACGAGUUCCAAAAACGGAUUUUAUAAUAACUGUUGCACAAUUGCUCUCAAAGCCAUAAAGCCGAAUUAACGGCACGAAGAGUGAAGACUCCAAAAACUAAUUAACCCUCAAGCCUCGAGUGCCCAUCCACGUCCAUGAGGGUGCCGAAUAAAAACGCGACGACAUUAAUUCAAACGCCUUCCGAGUGCAUUUACGUCAAGUGCCCCGUUUUCGGGGCCCGUCAACCGUGCACGAGGGUCCGUGAGGCCCAUGCACGUCGUAAAAAACGGUUCCGAAAAGGGGGCGAGGCGAAAAAAAAUAUUUUAUUCAAUCGGCAAGGUAAUUACAACCCUCAGGUAUAAUAAAUGUGGCGCCUCGUGCGGCAAUUUUCACGGGCGCGUUAAAUUGCUCCGGAGGUGGUCUGCGGGUGUGAAAUAUUGCGGCUUUGCGUUAACUGCGACGCUAAAUAAAAUGAUAAAAUUGUGAGUAUGCGAUUCUGGAUGGCGUUUAAAUGUUACUUUGGAGGUGGUCCCCGGAGGGAAGCGUGAAAUCCGCCGCCCUUUUGUCAGGCCUCGUCAAUAACAACGUCGCAAUGUAAUGCGACAGAUUUUCCAACCGACGAGGAACAGGAAACCACCGACGGAGCGACACAAAGUCCCUGGUUUUACGAAGGUUAAACGUGUUCGCGUGGAGGCGAGCCGCUGCCGGACCCGUCUUGAAUGAACCCCGGGACAGGACCAGACCUGUCCACCAUGGAUUAAGAACAAUUUGCUGCGGAAUUUCACUCCGCGGGGAGGAAGACACACAUACCAUAGCCGAAGAUCGGAUAACGAACGGUCGUUCCAGUGCAAUCCUAACAUUUUUACUUCUUAACAUUUACUUCUACUGAUGCUGCUAAAUAUUAUAACAAAUUUACAACAAAUUUUGUCGUUAUUAAAUUACAUAUUAUAAUAUUUUAAUAGAGUAUAUUGUCUUUUUUA